rnacentral:rRNA from 1 species
UACGAAGGGGGCUAGCGUUGUUCGGAAUUACUGGGCGUAAAGCGUGCGCAGACGGUUGCGUAAGUCAGAUGUGAAAGCCCCGGGCUCAACCUGGGAAUUGCAUUUGAGACUGCAAGGCUGGAGUCUGGCAGAGGGGGGUAGAAUUCACGUGUGAGCAGUGAAAUGCGUAGAGAUGUGGAGGAACACCGAUGGCGAAGGCAGCCCCUGGGUCAAGACUGACGCUCAUGCACGAAAGGCGUGGGGAAGCAAACGAGGAUAG